rnacentral:rRNA from 1 species
AUUGAACGCUGGCGGCAGGCCUAACACAUGCAAGUCGAACGAGUGGCGGACGGGUGAGUAAUGUCGGGGAAACUGCCCGAUGGAGGGGGAUAACUACUGGAAACGGUAGCUAAUACCGCAUACCAUCGGAUGUGCCCAGAUGGGGUUAGCUAGUAGGUGGGGUAACGGCUCACCUAGGCGACGAUCCCUAGCUGGUCUGAGAGGAUGACCCCCCCCACUGGAACUGAGACACGGUCCAGACUCCACCUAUACCACCCCUUAUCUAAUAUUGCGCAAUGCGCGCAAGCCUGAUUCAGCCAUGCCGCGUGUAUGAAGAAUUCCUUCGGGUUUUAAAGUACUUUCAGCGAGGAGGCGUUACUCGCAGAAGAAGCACCGGCUAACUCCGUGCCAGCAGCCGCGGUAAUUC